GACGGAAGGUGCAAGCGUUGCUCGGAAUCACUGGGCGUAAAGGGUGCGUAGGCGGCCGUGCAAGUCUGGCGUGAAAGCCCCGGGCUCAGCCCGGGAAGUGCGCUCGAAACUGCGCGGCUCGAGUGCCGGAGGGGAGAGUGGAAUUCCUGGUGUAGCGGUGAAAUGCGUAGAUAUCAGGAGGAAUACCGGUGGCGAAAGCGACGGACUGGACCUCUUCUGACGCUGAGGCGCGAAAGCUAGGGGAGCAAACGGG
rnacentral:rRNA from 1 species